CGCUCCUUGAACCUGUGUGUC
rnacentral:piRNA from 1 species